CGACCCCAGGUCACACGAGAUUACUCGCUGAGUUUAAGCAUAUCAAUAAGUGGAGGAAAAGAAACUUACCGGGAUUCCCCUAGUAACGGCGAGUGAACCGGGAAAAGCCCUGCUUGAGAAUCGGGCGCCACCGGCGUUUGAAUUGUACUCUGGAGAAGCGUCCUCAUCGGCAGACCGGGCCCAAGUCCCCUGAAAAGGGGUGCCGGGAAGGGUGAGAGCCCCGUCGUGCCCGGACCCUAUCGCACCAUGAGGCGUGUCUACGAGUCGGGUUGUUUGGGAAUGCAGCCCUAAUCGGGCGGUAAAUUCCGUCCAAGGCUAAAUACGGGCGAGAGACCGAUAGCGAACAAGUACCGCGAGGGAAAUAUGAAAAGGACUUUGAAAAGAGAGUCAAAGAGUGCUUGAAAUUGUCGGGAGGGAAGCGGAUGGGGGCCGGCGAUGCGCCCCGGUCGGAUGUGGAACGGCGAGAGCCGGUCCGCCGAUCGGCUCGGGGCGUGGACCGACGCGGGUCGUGGCGGCGGCCCAAGCCCGGGCCUUUGAUACGCCUGUGGAGACGUCGUCGCCUCGAUCGUGGGAUCCAGCACGCGUUGUCUCAGCGUGCUUUGGCACCUGCGUGCUCCGGGCGUCCGCCUACGGGCUCCCCAUUUGGCCCGUCUUGAAACAUGGACCAAGGAGUCUGACAUGUGUGCGAGUCAACGGGCUAGAAAACCCAUAAGGUGUAAGGAAGCUGAUUGGCGGGAUCCCUCACGGUUGCACCGCCGACCGACCUUGAUCUUCUGAGAAGGGUUCGAGUGAGAGCAUGCCUGUCGGGACCCGAAGGAUGGUGAACAAUGCCUGAGCGGGGCGAAGCCAGAGGAAACUCUGGUGGAGGCCCGCAGCGAUACUGACGUGGAAAUCGUUCGUCUGACUUGGGUAUAGGGGCGAAAGACUAAUCGAACCAUCUAGUGUCACAGACUUAGAGUUUUCCCAAGCAAUCCAUGCGGCCUCAAGCGUUUCUUCGCUCAAAAACGCCUAAGUCAGCCUAUCUCACAACAAUUAAGGAUCCUUCGCUCAAAAACGCCUAAGUCAGCCUGUCUCACAACAAUGAGGAUUCAAUGGAACUCCUCUCAAGAACGCACGAAGAACAGCAGAAGAACGAAGUAAGAACGAUCUCAAAAGAUGAACAAAAGCCACAGAAAAAUAAGAACACUUGAGAGAAAAGUUUGAGUGAAUACUCUAAAAAUUCAUCACUGAAUGAAUACACUGAGGGGGAGAGGCCUCUAUUUAUAGUUGAGCCUUCCCAACAUCAACGGUACAGAUCGAAAUACAUCAAUGGCUAAGAUCUAAAGCUAUCAAGAUAUCAAAUCUCUAAGAUUACAGAAUCGUAUCUUUUAAAGAUUACAUUAAAGUCUAAGAUCGUAUAUCUUUGAAGAUCUCCUUCCAUAUUUUCCAAGCGUAUCUUUAAAGAUUACUUUCCAUAUAUGCCAAGCUCCGGAGAUGGGCUUUCAAUCUCUUCAAGCGAUAAAUCGCACAAGUCCGUCAUGGUUGCAAGUCUCCUUUUGCAACCCAUGACAUUCUCCCCCACUUGUUCUAGCGACGCCCUCAUCGCAUCCCCCUCAUGGAACUGGGCUAUCUCCUCUUGGAACUGCCACAAUGCCUCGGCAGGUUCCCAACUUGCUUCGCUGUCAGGUAGUCCUUUCCAUCGUACCAAGUAUUCGUGUCGUGGCCGAUGAUACCUUUGUCUCACCACACGAUCUGCCUCAAUGUUUUCAACUUCUCUGUCAUAAGAGACUUUUACCCCCAUUGGUGCUCGUUUCGACUUGCCUCGAUUUGGAUCCUCUUGAUCCCCAUGGUAUGACUUGAGCAUGCUUACAUGGAAUACUGGAUGGAGCUUCAGCUUUGCUGGCAACUCAAGUUUGUAGGCCACCUUGCCUACCCUCUUCAAGACUUUAAACGACCCCUCAUACCUUCGCACAAGCCCCUUUUGCAAACCCGUAUAUCGUAACAUCAAGUGUAGUUUGGCAAGGACUGAGUCCCCCACCUGAAACUGCACAUCCCUUCGAUUCUAAUCGGCCCACUUCUUGUUGCACUUACUUACUUUGUGUAAACAAGCCCUAGCCAAGUCAUUCUUUUCUUGCCAAUCCUUCGCAAAUCAAUACGCAGCAGGAUUUGUGCCUGUAUAAUGGGUCGCAACAGCGUUGGGUGUGAGUGGCUACUGGCCCGUCACUAUCUCGAAUGGACUUUGGUUAGUUGCCCCACUUCGCUGCAAGUUGUAUGAAAAUUGGGCAACAUCCAACAACUUGGGCCAAUCCCUUUGCGUGGCACUCACAUAGUGUCGGAGAUAAGUCUCCAACAAUGCAUUCACUCGUUCAGUUUGCCCAUCAGUUUGUGGAUGCAUGCUUGUGGAGAAGUUCAAUUCUGAGCCCAUUGACUUGAACAGCUCCGUCCAGAACCGGCCCGUAAAUCUCCCAUCUCGAUCACUGAUAAUAGACAAUGGAACUCCCCAAUAUUUUACCACGUGUCUAAGAAAUAAGCGAGCUGCCUCCUCAGCAUGGCACUCCUUGGUAGCAGGAAUAAACGUCGCAUACUUUGAAAACCUGUCCACCACAACAAGAAUACUUACAAAUCCGUCAGACUUAGGCAAACCCACAAUAAAGUCCAUGGAUACACUCUCCCAUGGCCUUUCCGGAAUGGGCAAGGGUUGUAGCAAGCCGGCGGGACUCUUUAACUCAACCUUGUCUUGUUGGCAUACUAGACAAGUCUUCACAUAGGUCUCCACAUAUUCACCCAUGUGAGGCCAAUAGUAUCGAUCCUCCAAAAGGGCCAAGGUACGGUGCAUUCCCGGAUGGCCCGCCCAUCGUGAAUCAUGGUAUUCUUUCAUUACUUCCUUGCGCAAUUUCCCAUAAUGAGGCACAUAGAGGCGGUUCCCAUAGCUAUAUAGUAAUUCCCCAUCAAGCCAAAAUCUCCUCGUUUUCCCCUCAUUGGCCAGCUCAACCAAGCUUUUGGCUGUGGGGUCAUGGGACAACCCUUCUCGAAUGCGUUCCAAUAGGGACCCGUCAGGUUGACUGAUGGCCGCGAAUUCCAUCUUUCGGCUAAGUGCAUCAGCCACCAUGUUGGCACUUCCUGGCUUGUAUUCCAUUGUGAAAUCAAACUCCGCUAGAAAAACCUGCCAACGAGCCUGUUGGGAGACAACUUUUUCUGGGUUAGAAAAUAACUGUUGGCAACAUUAUCAGUAAGGACCACGAACCUGGAACCCAGUAAGUAAUGCCUCCAUGUGCCCAAGCAAUGCACCACAGCGGUCAUUUCCUUCUCUUGGACCGUAUAUAUCCGCUCUGUCUCAUUAAGCUUUCGAAAAGUCGAAAGCAAUGGGAUAACCCUCUUGCAUCAGUACUCCCCCAAUGGCAUAAUCUGACGCAUUUGUGCGUACUUCAUAAGGCUUCGAGUAAUCCGGUAAUGCAAGUACAGGCUCACUUGUCAUUACUUGCUUCAAUUGAUUGAAGGCCCUCUCACACUGUGGGUUCCAAUCCCAUACUUUACCCUUUUUAACAUGUCCGUCAAGGGUGCGGUAAUUCUAGAAUAGCCUUCGAUAAAGCGUCUAUAGUAGUUUGCCAACCCAAGGAAAGAUCUCAACUUAGUCACCUUGGUUGGAGCCUCCCAUUCAGCAAUGGCCCGAACCUUGCUUUCAUCCAUCCGGAUCUUGCCACCUCCCACAAUGUGGCCUAGAAAUGGCACCUCUCAUUGAGCAAAGGUGCAUUUCUCCUCUUUGACGAACAACUCAUUUUCCCUCAAAGUUUGGAACACCUCCCUCAAAUGUUCCACAUGUUCAUUGAGUGUUUUACUGUACACCACAAUAUCGUCAAGGUAAACAACCAUGAAACGAUCAAGGAAAGGUUGAAGUACCUUAUUCAUCAAGGUGCAGAAUGUAGCUGGGGCAUUCGUGAGUCCGAAUGGCAUCACCAAAAACUCAUACGAGCCAUACCGCGUCACACAAGCUGUCUUUGGCUCAUCUCCUUCAGCUAUCCGAACUUGAUGGUACCCCGAUCUCAAGUCCAACUUGGUAAACCAUCUCGCACUACCAAGCUGAUCAAACAAGUCUGCAAUGAGGGGAAUAGGGUACCUAUUCCUCACGGUGAUCUUGUUUAGGGCCCGAUAAUCAAUACACAUCCGUAAUAACCCAUCAUGUUUCUUUUGAAAUAGCACUGGUGCACCAUACUGAGAUUUAGAUGGCCUAAUGAAUCCCGCAUCUAAAAGCUCCUUUAACUGUUUCCGUAAUUCCUCCAAUUCCGGUGGGGACAUAUGAUAUGGCGCCCUAGCUGGCGGCACCAUGUUGGACACCAAUUCGAUCCUAUGAUCCACCUCCCUCUUAGGUGGCAAAUUCUUUGGCAACUUUGCAGGCAUCACAUCUCGAAAGGAUUCUAAUACUUGGCCCACUUUCUUAGGGAUCUCACCCACGGUCUUACCGGUUUCCUCAAUCUUCAAAGUGGCUAAGUAGGAGACUUCAUCUCUACGUACUCCCUUAGCAAAUUGGAUUACGGUCAAUGUUUUCCCUUCGAGGCUCCCCUUUCUUGUCAAUCUCACCAUACAUUGAUGGUUCGAAUUCGAAAUCAUCAUGAAAUCACCGGAAGGACAAAUCGUCGCAUUAACCUGAUCAAGAAAGCUGAAUCCAACUACAAAAUCAUAGUCAUCAAGGGUAUUACCUUGAUGGAUGCCGUAUCGGUCCAAUCGCCAAAUUGGAGUUUUACUCCCUUUGCGACCCCCUUAAUUGGAACACUUUCCGAAUUCACCGUCUUAAUUCGACCCGGAUCAUUUUCAAUCUUGAGACCAAGUUUAUGCGCAGCCCCUUCGGACAUAAAUAAAUCAGACGCACCUGUGUCGACAAGUGCAUUCAACUUUUUGCCAGCUACCAUGAUGUUCGCAAACAUCAGCCCAUGACUCCUCUUGUCUUCAACACCCCCUAGUAUUGAACCAAGAUUGUUAUCCUCCACAUCUCACUCUGCUUUCACUUCCACAGCAGAGAGCGCCGC
rnacentral:rRNA from 1 species